ACGUCCGGGCAUGCGCAGAUGAGCGGAAGCAGACCGGCCGCCUGCGUAGCCGCAAAGCUAGCAGCUGAGCACGAUAGAUGCAUCGAAUAUUGUUAUUAAAUCAUAUUUACCCUGUUUUUUAAUUCUCAAAUAACCAUGGAAUUGUCUGAACUAUUGUACAAUAAAGCGGAGUACAUCGAGACGGCGUCUGGCAACAAAGUAAGCAGGCAAUCCGUGUUGUGUGGAAGUCAAAACAUUGUUCUCAAUGGCAAAACUAUUGUCAUGAAUGACUGCAUUAUCAGGGGAGACCUGGCUAAUGUCAGAGUGGGAAGACACUGUGUUGUAAAAAGCCGGAAAUUAAU